rnacentral:lncRNA from 1 species
UUUAUCAUCGUAACUAAUGAUACUAUGUAUAGUUAUUACUUAUUAUUAAAUUAUACAAUGUAUACAAACACGAUUGGAAGAAUCAGAAAAAACUAGUCUUGAGAAUCUUCAAAUCCUUUUUGAUUGACAUUAAAAACUCCUGCCAAUCACACUUACUCUAAUAAUAUUAUGUAUUUUUAUUAUUGCUCACAUUUGCUUCUGAAGUAUGAAACAGAGUUAAGUAGACUACAGCUGUCAAUAUUAUUACUAGAGUUGACAUAUUUGCAAGGAAAAAAAGAGCGAAAGGCGAAGCAGGAGGGAUACAUAUGGCACUAACGAAUUAAGCCCUUUAUUAAUAUCAGCUGCUACCUGAUUUUGCAGGGAGAAAAUGGAUUACAGCUAUAAAGAAGAGAAACUUUUACAUUUAAAACAGCUUUAGUGACGGGAAAAUUUUAGAAAAUCUGGCUCGGAUAAUGUUUAUUAUAAAAUGUGAAAUCCACUCCUGCGAUUGGAACUUCUCUUUUUUGGUUGAUGAUCCAUGUAAUAACACUAUUAUCAAGGACUGUUAUAUUGCCAUUGCACCGGGGGGUACCCUAUGGAUCAUUAGAUUCGUAAAAUUUGGAUUAUUUAUCUAAUGACUGGAAAAUGAAAAAAACAGUAUUAAAAAAAAUUGGAAACCAUUUAUUCAAAAAGCCAAAAGAAGCCCGAUCCUUCUGUAAAAAAUGUCAUCUAUGUUAAUAAAUCAAAGUUUGUCUGUAUGUUUGAAUGAAAA